rnacentral:rRNA from 1 species
CCCUUAGAUGUUCUGGGCCGCACGCGCGCUACACUGACGAAUGCAACGAGCUUAUAACCUUGGCCGAAAGGUCUGGGUAAUCUCCAAAUUUCGUCGUGAUGGGGAUAGAUUAUUGCAAUUAUUAAUCUUCAACGAGGAAUGCCUAGUAAGCUCAAGUCAUCAGCUUGCGUUGAUUACGUCCCUGCCCUUUGUACACACCGCCCGUCGCUCCUACCGAUUGAAUGGUCCGGUGAAGCGCUCGGACCGCGGCCUCUUGACGGUUUUCCGUCGAUUGGCUGUGGGAAGUUCGUUAAACCUUAUCAUUUAGAGGAAGGAGAAGUCGUAACA